AAUUGAAUUAUCUUUCCAACCAUAGGUCGUGGGUUCCCAGGUGACGUCGGUACAAGGAGAUAUGGACGUUUUAAGGUCGAAAGGUCAGUGGGCUAGGCCCAACUCGGGACCAACCGAGUUGGCCCAAAAAAAUGAAAAGAAAAAUUUAGGCCCAAGGUGAGAGGGUGGCCGGCCAUACCUGGUCCAAGCCCACCAAAUUAAUUAAUUUCCAUGUGGCAAAUUAAUUAUAAAGGGAUCAUUAUCCCUUAGAUGAUUCAAGAAACUUAGAAGGAGAAAGAACAAACAAAACAAGAGCAAAAAAAAGGGCCAUUUCGGGUUUGGCCAUAGAAAAUUCACCCCUCCAAAUCUUCCUCCAAAAAUUAUUUUCUUGUGGUAUUCCUACUAAUUUAAGGGUCCUUUACAACUUGGUGUAAUUGUUUUGGAAGAAGGAGCACUUAUUUCUUCAAGUUGACAACUUGUUCAAGUGAAGGAGUUGUAGAAAAAGGUAAGAAUCAAUUUCUUUUUCUUAUGUUAUGAAGGUUUGUUUAUGUUGUGGUAUGUGGAAAUGAGUAGAAAUUAUGGAAAUAAGGAAGUUUGCAAAGUGGGUAUGUAUAUAUAUAUGUAGCCAUGAGUGUAUAUAUGUUGUAUACAUAUAUGAGUUGAAUUUUAUGUUGUAUUAGUUGUGGUUAUGGUGAAAAUUAUAUUGGGAAUGAAAGUUGAAUGAAUUUUGGUUGAAGUUGGAAUGUAGAAGAUUAUGUCACUUUAGAAUGAUUUUGUGAUAUUAUGGAAAUGAAGUUGUUAAGAUGUGAAUUAUGAUUAUGGUUGAUGAAAUUGGAAGAUGGAAAUAUGUUAUGAAUAUGUAGGUUGAAGAUUUGAAGUUUUGGGUGAAUUAUGUUUUGGUGGAAAGUUUGUAUAUUUUGUAUAUCUUGUGAAUAUUUCGUAGAAAUGAUAUGAAAUAUUUCCAAAUUAUAUUGUGAUGAUCUAGAUUAAUGAUGAAUGUGAAACCAUUGAGAUUAGUUUGGAAAUUGAAGUUGAAAUGAAGGUUAUGACAUUAUGUUGGAAAGAUAGCUAGUUAAGUUAUAUUGUGUUUAUAGUGAUUGUUGUUGUUGUUGAUGUUGUUGUUGGGUUGUUGUUGAUUGUUUUGGCCGAGUUAAAUUCUCGGGGAUGCUAUAUGUAUAGGGGAGAUGCUGCCCAAAUUUCUGUAGGCAAUUAUGAAUAAAGAUUGAAUACUUAAAGAUUGGAAAUUGAGAAUUGGUAAAUGUGACCAAUUGCAGAUUUUGGGCGAAACGGGAAUUGAAUUUGGAAAGGCGUAAAGAGCAUAUAAGGUACCGACGACAGGUUUGCUGAUCCGUCCGCUUAGGAUCUUAUUCUGCUAUUUUGGAGCGCUCCUUUAUCCGGAGCCUAUAUUUUGUGAUGCCUCCGAAAAAGGCGACGGCUGCCCAGAAGAAAAAGGGCGUGGUAGGAGAGACCAGCCGGGCUCAGAAGGGUACUCGGACCCUUGCUCAGAUGAUGCGUGAUAUUGCGUCCCGGCCAGCAGACUCUGCUACGUCUUCAUCAUCAGAGGAGUCUGGGGCAGCUCCACCAGUAGCUCCAGAGGUUCCAGUACCUGAGCCUCCAGCUCCACAGCCAGGGGCUGAGGAUCGGGCUAUGAGAGAUGCGGUCCAGUUGUUGACCAGACUGGUAGCAGGGCAGGUUCAUAGGCACGGACUUGGGGAUGGUCGUGCAGACAGACGUGACAGUUCGAGAGCUCGUGAGUUCCUGACCUGUAAUCCUCCAGAGUUCUUCGGGACAAAGCCC